AUUGAACGCUGGCGGCAGGCUUAACACAUGCAAGUCGAGCGAGCGGCGGACGGGUGAGUAAUGUUUGGGAAUCUGCCUUAUGGAGGGGGAUAACUACGGGAAACGGUAGCUAAUACCGCGUACCAUAGGAUGAGCCCACGUGGGAUUAGGUAGUUGGUGGGGUAAAGGCUCACCUAGCCGACGAUCUCUAGCUGGUCUGAGAGGAUGACCAGCCACACUGGGACUGAGACACGGCCCAGACUCCUACGGGAGGCAGCAGUGGGGAAUAUUGCGCAAUGGGGGCAACCUGACGCAGCCAUGCCGCGUGAAUGAAGAAGGCCUUCGGGUUGUAAAGCUCUUUCGGUAGGGAGGCGUUAACCGCAGAAGAAGCACCGGCUAACUCCGUGCCAGCAGCCGCGGUAAUUC
rnacentral:rRNA from 1 species